CGGAGCUAAUACCGGAUAGUUCCCUGAACCGCAUGGUUCAAGGAUGAAAGACGGUUUCGGCUGUCACUUACAGAUGGACCCGCGGCGCAUUAGCUAGUUGGUGAGGUAACGGCUCACCAAGGCGACGAUGCGUAGCUGACCUGAGAGGGUGAUCGGCCACACUGGGACUGAGACACGGCCCAGACUCCUACGGGAGGCAGCAGUAGGGAAUCUUCCGCAAUGGACGAAAGUCUGACGGAGCAACGCCGCGUGAGUGAUGAAGGUUUUCGGAUCGUAAAGCUCUGUUGUUAGGGAAGAACAAGUGCAAGAGUAACUGCUUGCACCUUGACGGUACCUAACCAGAAAGCCACGGCUAACUACGUGCCAGCAGCCGCGGUAAUACGUAGGUGGCAAGCGUUGUCCGGAAUUAUUGGGCGUAAAGGGCUCGCAGGCGGUUUCUUAAGUCUGAUGUGAAAGCCCCCGGCUCAACCGGGGAGGGUCAUUGGAAACUGGGAAACUUGAGUGCGGAAGAGGAGAGUGGAAUUCCACGUGUAGCGGUGAAAUGCGUAGAGAUGUGGAGGAACNNACCAGUGGCGAAGGCGACUCUCUGGUCUGUAACUGACGCUGAGGAGCGAAAGCGUGGGGAGCGAACAGGAUAAGAUACCCUGGUAGUCCACGCCGUAAACGAUGAGUGCUAAGGGCCGGGGGGUUUCCGCCCCUUAGUGCUGCAGCUAACGCAUUAAGCACUCCGCCUGGNGNNGNAGNUNACNGGUCNGCAAGACUGAAACUCAAAGGAAUUGACGGGGGCCCGCACAAGCGGUGGAGCAUGUGGUUUAAUUCGAAGCAACGCGAAGAACCUUACCAGGUCUUGACAUCCUCUGACAACCCUAGAGAUAGGGCUUUCCCUUCGGGGACAGAGUGACAGGUGGUGCAUGGUUGUCGUCAGCUCGUGUCGUGAGAUGUUGGGUUAAGUCCCGCAACGAGCGCAACCCUUGAUCUUAGUUGCCAGCAUUCAGUUGGGCACUCUAAGGUGACUGCCGGUGACAAACCGGAGGAAGGUGGGGAUGACGUCUAAUCAUCAUGCCCCUUAUGACCUGAGCUACACACGUGCUACAAUGGACAGAACAAAGGGCUGCGAGACCGCAAGGUUUAGCCCACCAAACAAAUCUGUUCUCAGUUCGGAUCGCAGUCUGCAACUCGACUGCGUGAAGCUGCAAUC
rnacentral:rRNA from 1 species